CCUACGGGUGGCAGCAGUGGGGGAUAUUGCACAAUGGAGGAAACCCUGAUGCAGCGACGCCGCGUGUGGGAAGACGGUCCUCUGGAUUGUAAACUACUGUCCCCAGGGACGAAGAUGACGGUACCGGGGGAGGAAGCUCCGGCUAAAUACGUGCCAGCAGCCGAGGUAAUACGCAGGGAGCGAGCGUUGGCCGGAAUUACUGGGUGUAACGGGAGUGUAGGCGGGACUGCAAGUUGGGGGUCAAAUCUACCGGCUCAACCGGUAGCCGCACUCAAAACUGCAGUUCUUGAGUGGAGUAGUGGCAGGCGGAAUUCAUGGUGUAGCGGUGAAAUGCGUAGAUAUUAGGAGGAACACCGGUGGCGAAGGCGGCCUGCUGGGCUUUUACUGACGCUGAGGCUCGAAAGUGUGGGGAGCAAACAGGAUUAGAUACCCCAGUAGUC
rnacentral:rRNA from 1 species